GGCCUAACCCUCGUAAUUUAAUCUGCGAGGUAUGGCGUAAAAACCUGUUGAAAAUACUGAACUCCACGUUCAGCAAUCUUUCAACAGGUCAUAUCGGGAAACCGGUAUGGAGCCGCAAGGCUC
rnacentral:sRNA from 12 species